rnacentral:tRNA from 1 species
CUUACUAGACAGAUGGGCUUCGAUCCCAUGACUCUGUAGUUAACAGCUACAUGCCCCAACCAACAGGCCUCUGCCUA